UACUUAAAGAGCACCUAUUAUGGGAUACACGUUUUUAAACAUCCUUUUGUGUGUAAGUGUGCAUUAGUACAUGCUAACGAUAUUCAAAAAGUACAUACCUCAAAGAAAACGAUGACGCGAGUUAUCGUCUCUAACGUUCGAGGACUACAAAAAACACUCGGAUUGUAGGCAACAGUUUACUUCCUGGGAUUAGUGACGUAGAUAAGACCAACAUUAUCAUAGUUCAGCCCUCUCUGCUUUGCUUGGGUACGCCCUCAAAGACGAGGGUGGGGAGCGCCGAGUCAGAAGAGAGCUAAAAUGGCGGAGGUUGGGAGUCCCUGCUUUUACUCUGUUUGCAAACUCUUGUUUCAUUGUUUAAGCGAUUAAAUCUCUCGAGUAGACGCUGUCUCUUUAGAUGCGAGGGCAAAAUAGCACUUUAUGGACUUACACAGAGGACAUCAUGUUUAAUACGGUUCCGGAAAAAUCCAGUCAGAAGUUGUUCACGGAGUUUUCACAAUAACUGCUUCUCAUGAACCAAAGCUGGAUUUGCGCGAGGUCUCCUCUUGAAAGUUGGAUUACUGUGCACUUCUGGAUCACAGGCUAUUCGCAGCUGGACACAUCCUUCUACACUGUAUGCAAACAUGCAACAUCAUAACACACAGUACAAGGAGUCAGACUGGCAUAUGAGGAGCAAAGGAACCCAGGCAGUAGCAUCGUUUCACAUGUUUCCAUCACCAUCAUCAGUGGAUGCCUUUGCCGUCCGUAGCCUGAGAUUUCAGAUUUGCAGCAAAAAUUUUUUGAUUUUCUCAUUUAUUGGAAUGCUGUGCAGGUAUGUGUACCUUGCAGCCAUCCAUUACAAUGUCACCAAGCCGUAACAAAAGCAGGAGGGAAAGUACAAGGCUAUGUUCCCAAAACACACAAGUGACAUACCUUAUGUGGAGGAUGUGAUCAGGCUUGUGUUUGAUGAGGUAUUUGAAGAUAAGCUGAAGGAAACCCCGAUUCCAAUGGACCUGGCAUCACAGUUUGAGAGACCUUCAAAGGAGGACGUGAUUGCAUGCCAUCUUCAGUGCA